rnacentral:rRNA from 1 species
CGUGUAGGCGGCUCAUCAAGUCUGGUGUGAAAACGCAAGGCUUAACCUUGCGUAGGCACUGGAAACUGGUGGGCUUGAGUUCCUGAGGGGAAGCUGGGAAUUCCAGGUGUAGGGGUGAAAUCUGUAGAUAUCUGGAAGAACACCGGUGGCGAAGGCGAGCUUCUAUCAGAGGACUGACGCUGAGGCGCGAAAGCGUGGGGAGCAAACAGGAUUAGAUACCCUGGUAGUCCACGCUGUAAACGAUGUGCACUAGGCGUGGGGCCCGUACGGGUUCUGUGCCGUAGUUAACGUGUUAAGUGCACCGCCUGGGGAGUAUGCUCGCAAAGGGUGAA